GAAAAUUGCAAAAAGCUAAAGGUACAAGACUGUGUAUAGAAACGAUCAUAGACUUCAGUGGUAGCAGCUUGCUAGCCGUUCACGGGUGCAAAGUUCUGUAAACAUU